rnacentral:rRNA from 1 species
GUGAGGAAUUUUGCGCAAUGGCCGCAAGGCUGACGCAGCAACGCCGCGUGGGUGAUGAAGGCCUUCGGGUCGUAAAGCCCUGUCAGGUGGGAAGAAAGGCCUGGAGAGGAAAGGUUUCAGGUUUGACGGUACCACCAGAGGAAGCACCGGCUAACUCCGUGCCAGCAGCCGCGGUAAUACGGAGGGUGCGAGCGUUAUUCGGAAUUACUGGGCGUAAAGCGCGUGUAGGCGGGGGGACAAGUCUGAUGUGAAAGCCCUGGGCUUAACCUGGGAAGCGCAUUGGAAACUGUGUUUCUUGAGUACUGGAGAGGAAGGGGGAAUUCCCGGUGUAGAGGUGAAAUUCGUAGAGAUCGGGAGGAAUACCAGUGGCGUAGGCGCCCUUCUGGACGGUAACUGACGCUGAGACGCGAAAGCGUGGGGAGCAAACAGGAUUAGAAACCCCUGUAGUCC